CUUCAGUCAAGGAGGGGGGGAGGUCUCUUACUUUGUUCUUAAAGUGGAAUGUCUAUCCUUCCUCCAAUGGGCAGGAACAACUGCUUGGCGUUACUGUAAGCCCCUGCAUUCUGAGAGAGCCUUCUCAAGCUCAAGACAAGGUCUUCUGAUAAGGGUCCUGAAGUUCUUGCCCUAAAUCCACUUGCCACUUGAUUCAUGUUUACACAGUGACUAUUUGGCUGUUAAACAAAUACAGUAUUUAACAGGCCCAGAGUGGUCUGCUUACACAGAGCCUGUAAUAAUCGGAAGGAGACCA